UACGUAGGGCGCAAGCGUUGUCCGGAAUUAUUGGGCGUAAAGAGCUCGUAGGCGGCUUGUCACGUCGAUUGUGAAAGCCCGAGGCUUAACCUCGGGUCUGCAGUCGAUACGGGCUAGCUAGAGUGUGGUAGGGGAGAUCGGAAUUCCUGGUGUAGCGGUGAAAUGCGCAGAUAUCAGGAGGAACACCGGUGGCGAAGGCGGGUCUCUGGGCCGGUACCGACGCUGAGGAGCGAAAGCGUGGGGAGCGAACAGG
rnacentral:rRNA from 1 species